rnacentral:rRNA from 1 species
UACGUAGGGUGCAAGCGUUGUCCGGAAUUAUUGGGCGUAAAGAGCUCGUAGGCGGUUUGUCGCGUCGAAUGUGAAAAACCCGGGGCUCAACCCCCGGGCCUGCAUUCGAUACGGGCAGGCUGGAGUUCGGUAGGGGAGACUGGAAUUCCUGGUGUAGCGGUGAAAAUGCGCAGAUAUCAGGAGGAACACCGGUGGCGAAGGCGGGGUCUCUGGGCCGAUACUGACGCUGAGGAGCGAAAGUGUGGGGAGCGAAACAG